GAUGAACGCUAGCGGCAGGCUUAACACAUGCAAGUCGAGGGGUAGAGGCUUUCGGGCCUUGAGACCGGCGCACGGGUGCGUAACGCGUAUGCAAUCUGCCUUUCACAGAGGGAUAGCCCAGAGAAAUUUGGAUUAAUACCUCAUAGCAUUACAGGAUGGCAUCAUUCUGCAAUUAAAGUCACAACGGUGAAAGAUGAGCAUGCGUCCCAUUAGCUAGUUGGUAAGGUAACGGCUUACCAAGGCUACGAUGGGUAGGGGUCCUGAGAGGGAGAUCCCCCACACUGGUACUGAGACACGGACCAGACUCCUACGGGAGGCAGCAGUGAGGAAUAUUGGUCAAUGGACGCAAGUCUGAACCAGCCAUGCCGCGUGCAGGAUGACGGUCCUAUGGAUUGUAAACUGCUUUUGCACAGGAAGAAACACUCCGACGUGUCGGAGCUUGACGGUACUGUGAGAAUAAGGAUCGGCUAACUCCGUG
rnacentral:rRNA from 1 species